rnacentral:rRNA from 1 species
AAGCGGGAAAAGCUCAAAUUUGAAAUCUGGCGGCGUCCGAGUUGUAAUCUAGAGAAGUGUUGCCUGUGCUGGACCGUGUACAAGUCUCCUGGAAUGGAGCGUCACAGAGGGUGAGAAUCCCGUCUUUGACACGGACUAGUGCGUUGUGGCGCGCUCUCAAAGAGUCGAGUUGUUUGGGAAUGCAGCUCUAAAUGGGUGGUAAACUCCAUCUAAAGCUAAAUAUUGGCGAGAGACCGAUAGCGAACAAGUACCGUGAGGGAAAGAUGAAAAGAACUUUGGAAAGAGAGUUAAACAGUACGUGAAAUUGUUGAAAGGGAAACGCUUGAAGUCAGUCGCGUUGGCCGGGGAUCAGUGGGUGCACUUCCUGGGUGACGGGCCAACAUCAGUUUUGAGUGCUAGAGAAGGGCGUUGGGAAUGUGGCACCGGGUGUGUUAUAGCCCAGUGUCGGAUGUGGCAUUUGGGACUGAGGAACGCAGCACGCGGCCUGGUCGACCAAGCCCGUGCUUUGGAUGUUGGCAAUGGCUUUAAUCGACCCGUCUUGAAACACGGACCAAGGAGUCUAACAUGCGUGCGAGUGUUUGGGUG